rnacentral:lncRNA from 10 species
GUUGUAAAACCACAGUAUCUGUAUCUGGAAUAAAACAAUGACUUACAUAAGUUGCAGAUGGUAGGAACCAGAUCUCUCACUGGUGAAGUGGGAGGUUACAAAUUAGCAAGGUGAGAAGGCUAGAAUGAUUCAUGUGAUAGUAGAUCAGAGGUGGAGACAUCAACGUUAUAGGAAAAGAAAGAGAGAUCAGACUGUUACUGUGUCCAUGUAGAAAGGGAAGACAUAAGAAAUUCCAUUUUGAUCUGUACCUUGAAAAAUUUCUUUGCUGAGAUGCUGUUAAUUUGUAACUUUGCCCCAGCCACUUUGCCCCAACUUUGAGCUCACAAAAACAUGUGUUAUAUGGAAUCAAGGUUUAAGGGAUCUAGGGCUGUGCAGGAUGUGCCUUGUUAACAAAAUAUUUACAAGCAGUAUGCUUGGUAAAACUCAUUGCCAUUCUCUAGUCUCAAUAAACCAGGGGCACAAUGCACUGCAAAAAGCCACAGGGACCUCUGCCCUGGAAAGCCGGGUAUUGUCCAAGGUUUGUCCCCAUGUGAUAGUCUGAAAUGUGGCCUCAUGGGAUAAGAAAGACUUGACCAUCCCCCAGCCUGACACCCAUAAAGGGUCUGUGCUGAGGUGGAUUAGUAAAAGAGGAAAGCCUCUUGCAGUUGAGAUAGAGGAAGGCCACCAUUUCCUGCCUGCCCCUGGGAACUUGAUGUCUCGGUAUAAAACCCGAUUGUACACCUGUUCAAUUCUGAGAUAGGAGGAAAACCACCCUAUGGUGGGAGGUGAGACAUGUUGGCAGCAAUGCUGUCUAGUUAUUCUUUACUCCACUGAAAUGUUUGGGUGGACAGUAACAUAAAUCUGGCCUACAUGCACAUCCAGGCAUAGUACCUACCCUUGAACUUAAUUAUGACAUAGAUUCUUUUGCUCACAUGUUUUUUUGCUGACCUCCUCCUUAUUAUCACCCUGCUCUCCUACAGCAUUCCUCUUGCUGAGAUAAUGAAAAUAAUAAUCAAUAAAAACUGAGGGAACUCAGAGACCGGUGCUGGUGCAUGUCCUUGGUAUGCUGAGAGCCAGUCCCCUGGCCCCACUUUUCUUUCUCUAUACUUUGUCUCUGAGUCUUAUUUUUUUUCUCAGUCUCUCAUCCCAUCUGACGAGAUAUACCCACAGGUGUGGAGGAGCAGGCCACCCCUUCAUCUGCCACCCAAUGUGGGUGCCUUUCUCUAGGAUGAAGGUAUGCUAAGAAUGUGAGCAUUGAGGACAGUCGAGAGAUUCCUGAGUACAUCCACCAUCAGCCUUGCGACAUUUGAAAUUCUACAAUGAACCCAUCAGAGAUGCAAAGAAAAGUGCCUCCGUGGAGAUGGAAAACCCGCAAUGGAGCACCAUCGACUCGCCAGGUGAACAAAAUGGUGAUAUCAGAAGAACAGAUGAAGUUGCCAUCCACCAAGAAAGUGGAGCUGCUGACCUGGGCCCAGCUAAAGAAGCUGACACAGUUAGCUGAAAAAAAGCCUGAAGAAUACAAGGUUAACACAAACUCCAGAGAAUAUGCUGCUUGCAGCUUUAAUGAUUGUACCAACGGUGUCUACAGGUGUAUCCAGCAGCUCUGGAGAGACAGUGACCAGUGAGAAUGGACCAUGAUGACCAUGGCAGUUUUGUCAAAAAGAAAAGGGGGAUAUGUAGGGAAAAGAGAGAUCAGACUGUUACUGUGUCUAUGUAGAAAGGGAAGACAUAAGAAAUUCCAUUUUGAUCUGUACCUUGAAAAAUUGUUUUGCUGAGAUGCUGUUAAUUUGUAACUUUGCCCCAGCCACUUUGCCCCAACUUUGAGCUCACAAAAACAUGUGUUAUAUGGAAUCAAGGUUUAAGAGAUCUAGGGCUGGGCAGGAUGUGCCUUGCUAACAAAAUAUUUACAAGCAGUAUGCUUGGUAAAACUCAUUGCCAUUCUCUAGUCUCAAUAAACCAGGGGCACAAUGCACUGCAAAAAGCCACAGGGACCUCUGCCCUGGAAAGCCGGGUAUUGUCCAAGGUUUGUCCCCAUGUGAUAGUCUGAAAUGUGGCCACAUGGGAUGAGAAAGACCGGACUGUCCCCCAGCCUGACACCUGUAAAGGGUCUGUGCUGAGGUGGAUUAGUAAAAGAGGAAAGCCACUUGCAGUUGAGAUAGAGGAAGGCCACUGUUUCCUGCCUGCCCCUGGGAACUUAAUGUCUCGGUAUAAAACCCGAUUGUACAUAUGUUCAAUUCUGAGAUAGGAGGAAAACUGCCCUAUGGUGGGAGGCGAGACAUGUUGGCAGCAAUGCUGCCUCGUUAUUCUUUACUCCACUGAGAUGUUUGGGUGGGAAGAAACAUAAAUCUGGCCCACGUGUACAUCCAGGCAUAGUACCUCCCCUUGAACUUAAUUAUGAUAUAGAUUCUUUUGCUCACGUGUUUUUUUGCUGACCUUCUCCUUAUUAUCACCCUGCUCUCCUACUGCAUUCCUCUUGCUGAGAUAAUGAAAAUAAUAAUCAAUAAAAACUGAGGGAACUCAGAGACCGGUGCUGGUGCAGGUCCUUGGUAUGCUGAGUGCAGGUCCCCUGGGCCCACUAUUCUUUCUCUAUAGUUUGUCUUGUAUCUUAUUUCUUUUCUCAGUCUCUCAUCCCACCUGAUGAGAUAUACCCACAGAUGUGGAGGGCCAGGCCACCCCUUCAAACAUAAACUUAUGUUUAGUUUAAUAUAGAUACACACAGUUCUACAUAGAAAACUUUAUAAUCAGGUGUGUAUAGGUAGGUUAGACACACACAUAUACUUCCUAGCAUUGCUAAUGAGGGACAAGAUACAAUGUGCUAAUUCAACAGCCAGAUGUAAGUUUUCCUACCAUUCUGAAAGGAAUCAGGCUCUUUGAAGAAAUGUCUGAUACUAGAACUGGGACAGUAAAUAUAGGAGCCAGGAUAAUCUUGAAGUAUCAGAAAGUAAGUACUAAAAAAAAUUAAAAUAUAUCAAAGAAAAAUAAGAGCCAAUAAUAACAGCUACCGAAGGCCAACACAGGAAUGAAUUGUGCAACACAAUGCUGCAGUGUUGAAUAAUAACUGAAGCUUAAAGUAAUUAUCUAGGUGUCUGUAUUUGUAUACAUAGGUGAAUAAGCUAAUGGAGUUGCAUAGAAAUCUCCUUUGCAAAAGAAUUCCAAAUAAUUGAUGUAGACACUCAGCCAUCAGGAAGGUGGAGCCAACUCCUCACUCCAUGAGUGUGGGCUCUGCAUAGUGACUUGCUCCAAAAGAACACAUGCAGUAUGGACAAGGAGGAAAAAUAACUUCACAGUGGAGAAACCUGACAAACAGUAGCUCUGCCAAAUGAUCCAAGUGAACAUCAAAAAUGACAGUUUACCUUGAGAACAUGAAGUGAAAAUGGGGGACAUUCUACAAAAUUCCUGACCAAUCCUCCUCAGUACUGUCAAGGUCAUCAUGAGAUGGAAAGCCUGACACACUGUCACAGCCAGGAAGAGCCUAUGUGAUGACUACAUGUCGUGCGGGAUCCUGGAUGGGAUCCUGGGUCAGAGUAAGACAGACCUAAGGGAGUCCAAAUGAAAUGUGAACUUUAGUUAAUAAUAGUCUAUCAGUAUUGGUUCAUUAACUGUGACAAAUUAUGUAAGAUAUUAAUAAGCCAUGUGAGACACACUGAUAGAAGAUGUUAAUGAGAGGAAACUAGGUUGUGGCUACAUGGGAAAUCUCUGCUUUUUUUUUUUUUUUUUGGUAAUUUCUGUGUAAGUAAAAAAAAAAGAUGUAAAAUAAAACUUUAUUUAAAACCUUUUUAUAUUUUUUAAUGCUUCCUUGCUUAAUUAUUUAUACCGUGAAUUACUAGUAAUUGACACUGUUAACUAGUCCUGUUUUUUUAAAUAAGAGCAUUUAUGACACAAAAAAUUAAACAGUGCAGACUGAUAUAUAAAUCAAAACAAACGCUCUGUAUAUGUUUUCUGUUACAGUAGUAACACAUAUGUGUAAACUUAAUUAUCGUAUUUUUGUCUUGUGCUAUGGUUGUGUCCUGGUUCAUUCUCUAAAAUGCUGAUCACCUUAGACCAGGAAAAAAAAUAAACUUACAGGAUCUGUUUCAAUUCAUGGCUAAAUAUUUUCAAAAGAGUGACUGUAAAAAUAUGUUCCAAUGGCAAAUUGAUUCAUUGUGAUGGGAUCACUUAUUCUAAAGACUUCUUGUCUUUACUUUGUUCCCAUGCCUACCUUUUAGCCAUAAUACAACAGAAUCAAAUAUUGGCCAUUGGGAAAAAAUAUUCAAAGAAAGAAAGAAUGUGAACAGAACUUACAACCAUGAUGAUUCAAUGUUUUACCACAAUGCUUUCUAAAAAUAAGAGUGUAAAAGGAUAUUCAAAGUCAAUUUCCUCAGCGAGGCUUUGCAGAAAAUGAGGAAACUAAAGAAACAAAAAUGGCAGGACGUUCUACGGGUGAUUUUAGAUGUUGCUAUGUUUUAUGGGAAAAAAAUACUUUACCUUUUAAAGAAUCACUAAGAAUUAUUGGAAACCCAAACUCUGGAAUGUUUGCAAAUUUAGUUGAGCUUCUGUGUAAUUAUGUCUAUGUAGCUAGGCAUGAAGUUGAUGAUUUUUUAAAAAUCUUUGCCUUAUUUGUGUAAUAAAAUACACAAUAAAUAAUUAAUGCUCAUAG